rnacentral:misc_RNA from 1 species
AGAUGAACGACAGAAGUUCUUGGAAAAGGUCGAGUUCAGUGUCGAUUAAUAUUAUGCUGAACAAGAGAAAUAUAUGAGGCGGUGAAGUUUCAUCGACAGUGGCUGGUAGUCCAUUUCAUUUACAAGGUGGUUCUCAUCUGGUACCACAAAAAACUGGCACGUAUGCCACGUGGGUUACAUUUGCACCACGGAUCGUAGAGAACGAGGGUGGGUCAGCCUCAUCAUUAAAGUAAGGGUGGAAAGGAGGGCAAAGAAAAAUAGAAGAGUUCCGCUACGCUUUGAGCAACUGUUUCACAUGCUACCCCGCCACGUCGCCGAUCGAAUUCUUGGAAACUCGAAUUUCCCCCGUCUUUUGUGUACACGGAAUGGAAAAUCCAAUCGGGAAGGGCCAGAAAGGUUAACAGGUUGAGAGUCGAGAUCUGACGUUAUUGAAAUAAUGAAAACGAUGUUUCAGUUUGAAGCAGGAGAUAUAUUCCGUCGAACAUAGGGUUUUCACAAAGCAAAUUUAUAUUUUGAUAAAUGAAAAACGAACCAUAUUCAUUCGACGACUCUGAUUUUAUUAAUUCCAUAUUCCGCGUUCUUACCCAAAUGGACGGAAUUGGAUUUAUCGAAACACGAGGAUUAAUUAAUUAAACGGUAUUUUUUAGCAUCCAAAUGAAAAUUCAGUUAAAUGUUCUAAGUAUAUGUAUAUAUACAUGCCAAUACAUGUUAUCGUAGAUAUCUUCCACGUGACAAAAGACACAAGAUAUCCAUUUUACAUUUAAUGUACCUGUUUCAUUUAUUGUAUAAAGUAUUAAAAAUUUAUCUAUUUCCGAGUUUAGAGAGAACGCUUGGACGACAUGAAUUUAUUUAAUUUCAAAAAGUACAGCGUAAUGUUUCAUGUACUCGAUUAAAUGUUUAAUGUUACAUGCAAGAAAAGAAUAAACCAAAAAAG